GGGCGUAUAGCACAAUGGUUAAUGCUACCGGCUCAUAACCGGCGGAUUCAAGGUUCGAGUCCUUGUGCGCCCACCA
rnacentral:tRNA from 1 species